rnacentral:tRNA from 6 species
ACGUCCAUCGUCUAAUGGAAAGGACAUAGGUCUUCUAAACCUUAGGUAUAGGUUCAAAUCCUAUUGGACGUA